GCUUUUGUGGUGUAGUUGUCAACACGCUCGACGCGUAUUCGAGAGGUCCGUGGUUCGAGUCCAGGCGAGGGCA
rfam:Stegodyphus mimosarum contig314, whole genome shotgun sequence.